GCUCAGGGCCAGAACCUGCCAGGAUGGCCAGAAGGGGAUAGCAGGCAUUUCCUAGUCAAGAACGUAGGAAUAGAUAACCUCCCAGUUUGAAACGUGCUAAAUUGGAAUGUUUAAAAGGGAAUACUUGCUAAACUGAGCAAUAAUUAUGCUGUCUCCAGGUUAGCAAGUGUCCCCUUUUAGGUCAAAGGAUACAAAGUAGCAAGUAUGUAGGAGGCCAUAUUGAGGGUGGGGCUUCUCUCAGUUCACUGACUCACAGGCGAGUCUCCUCUAGAAACAGCCUAACAGAAAUACCCAGAGACAAUGCAUCACCAGGCAUCUAGGCAUUCCUCAGUCCAGUCAACUUGACACCUAAAGUUAAUCAUCACACCCAGGAAUCACAGCACUACACAGUUGAUUUUUGUGAUUGACCUUGUGUCCUGUGAUGUUGCUAAAGGUACUUAUGACUUCUAGUAAUUGUAACUAUUGAUUACUUAUGACUUUCUUUCUGUGCACUGGAGCGGGAUCAGCAGCAUCCCUGGCUUCUCACCCAUCAGAGGCUGGCAGCAUCCUCUCACGCCCUGGUGCUGAAAAACUGAUAAGUUACUCUUCAAAAACAAGAACAUUUGGAAACAACAUCUGUUUCCAGGUAUUGCCAAAUAUUUCCUUAAGGCAAAAUCAUCCCUAGCAUCACUGUGCCCUUGGAAUAGUGAAGUAGAAGAAUUCUCAUACAAUGUUUUUAGUUUUUUUCUCUUUAUUUCUUAUGGAUAAAAUGCAACAUACAUAUUCUACUUAACAAUGAAAGCUGAUGGAACAGAAGAAUCAAUAUUAGCUUCUGAGAUGGGCAAAGACAUAAAACACUGGCGUUUUCUAGUGUCAUGAUUUGUCAAUCAAAUUAGUUUUAGAAAAUAGUUGGUAAAUGUCUGACAGAAAAAAAAUUUUUAAGGUGUAUGUAAGUGUGUAAAACUGUUAAAAAUGCUUGAAAACAAACAUUUUAAUCCCAUGACAUAUUAUUUUUGUGGAAAACAGUUAAAAACUGCCUGUCAGAGAAACUAUUUAAUCCUUUAACAUAAAGUCUUUUAAGGCACAUAAACAUUUAUGAAGAACAGUUGAAAUAUGCUUGCUAGGAAGAAGGGACAUUUUAACUCAUGUGAGCUUUCAGUCAAGUGAAAUACGUGGACAGCAGAUGAAAAUGCCUGAA
rnacentral:lncRNA from 1 species